rnacentral:tRNA from 1 species
GGUCUGUAGUGUAGUGAGUAUCACGUUCGCUUCACACGCGCGAAAGGUCUCGGUUCGAUCCCGGACGGAACCA